rnacentral:rRNA from 1 species
UACGUAGGGUGCGAGCGUUGCCCGGAUUUAUUGGGCGUAAAGCGCUCGCAGGUGGUCCGCUGCGUCGUGCGUGAAAGACCCCGGCUCAACUGGGGGAUGUCGUGCGAUACGGGCGGACUGGAGGCCAGUAGGGGGAUGCGGAAUUCCCGGUGUAGCGGUGAAAUGUGUAGAGAUCGGGAGGAACACCGGUGGCGAAGGCGGGUCUCUGGGCAUUUCCUGACGCUGAGGCGCGAAAGCGUGGGGAGCAAACGGG